UUUGUCGGUUAACAUCAACAAGAAAUAAAAAAUGUCGCGAAGAGAAAUUUCGCCCGCUGACCUUGAGCGAUUAGACGAUAUUCAGAAGAUGUAUAUGAAGAGAUUCGAGCAGAAGAAUAAUCAAAGAGUAUCAAAAUACGUUCACACGAGAUGGAAGAAUAGAAUCACCGGCGGUCUACUGGGUUGCCUUGUCAUUGGUGUUUAUGCUUAUACAAUCCGAGCUCUGAGACAGGAGAAAAUGGGUCCAGAAUAUGAUCAGAGAUUCUCGGAUGUUGCAAAGAAAGAGUCGAGUUCCACCUAGCGAAGAAUGAUGAUAAUUCAACAACUGAGGACGCAUAUUACUGCUGAGUCAUGAUCAAGCCAAGAUGCAUGUAAUAACAUUGAAAUGCAAACUUAAAUUGACCUUUAACUCUUUCAGUGCUGGAACCGAAUUUUGAAGGCCUUUGCAAACAAAACGUGGCGUCUCAUCAGGAUCCAAACUGUUUGCUAUUCUGAUAGUAGUUUUUGAAAAAAAAUCUAAGAAAAUGCUAAUUUUAGAAAUUCAGCAGACAACAUUUUAGCAGACGACAAAUUUACCAGCAUGCAAAGGGUUAAACAAGUUGUAACAUUCUCAGCAGUUGUUCUGUGUGUUUCAAACUUGAUGUUUGCAUUUGUGACGCAUAUUUUCUUUGGAAGAACAAACUUAAAUAGACAACUUAGUGCUUGCAUGACAAAGUUGCAGUGUUUUAAGAUGAAUAUGCUUUGCUAUGAAGAUUGACAUGGCCGUGAGAUAGAUGUCUUUCCUUGUGCAAAUGAGCUGUGUCUUUGUCAUUCUGAACAUCGAACAGAAUGUUAAGAAAGCGAAGUGUUUAAAUACUUUGAGACAAUUGUUUUGUAACUGUUAACAUUUGUUUUAACCCAAACAUACACAAACAAAAAUCUGUGCUUAAAAUCUAAGUUAAACAUUUUGUUAAGAAAAAUAAUUAAAAUAGAGUUAUUCAUGUCAUUAAAUAUGUUUUCAGUUGUUUGAUUUUGCCAAAUAAAUGUUAAAAUGAUUUUUCAACAUUUUAAAACUAUCUUUUACAUGUUACUGUUAAUAUUUUGUUUUUGUUGUUAAAAUAAAUGUUUAAAUUAUCAGAAUACCUGUGUCUAGUAAAGAGUAAAAAAUCCAUGAAUAUGUAGAGGCAUAGACUGAGCUGAACUGCAUCAUGACCAUUUCAUGUAAAUCAUGUUAGUAAUAUAUACAUUGCGUGUAACUUGCACAGAAUUGAAAGAAAAUUGCUUUUUCUUUUUUACUUGUUUUGUUUAUAUUUCAAAUCUGUUGUGUAACUUGAUUGAAUAUUUGGUUGAAAUUACAUAUGUUUUAAAUACAUUCUAUGUAGAAAACAUAGAA